rnacentral:lncRNA from 1 species
ACUCACAAAACUAUGUGUAGCCUCUGUGUCAAAAAGUACGUGUGUUUCCACACCACAAAUCCACUUGUGGAAAAUAUCUCAGUUCAUGACCACACCACAAGGAACGUCCAAUAACAUCCCUCAUGAAGUCUUCAAUCACUUAAUACUUCCACUACCAUUACGUUCCUAGUUGAGUAAGAUCUCGGUUUGACCACAUACUUGGAAAACGUCCCAUACCAUUCUCCAAGGCGUCUUACUUUUGC